GAUGAACGCUGGCGGCGUGCCUAAUACAUGCAAGUCGAGCGAACGGACGAGAAGCUUGCUUCUCUGAUGUUAGCGGCGGACGGGUGAGUAACACGUGGAUAACCUACCUAUAAGACUGGGAUAACUUCGGGAAACCGGAGCUAAUACCGGAUAAUAUUUUGAACCGCAUGGUUCAAAAGUGAAAGACGGUCUUGCUGUCACUUAUAGAUGGAUCCGCGCUGCAUUAGCUAGUUGGUAAGGUAACGGCUUACCAAGGCAACGAUGCAUAGCCGACCUGAGAGGGUGAUCGGCCACACUGGAACUGAGACACGGUCCAGACUCCUACGGGAGGCAGCAGUAGGGAAUCUUCCGCAAUGGGCGAAAGCCUGACGGAGCGACGCCGCGUGAGUGAUGAAGGUCUUCGGAUCGUAAAACUCUGUUAUUAGGGAAGAACAUAUGUGUAAGUAACUGUGCACAUCUUGACGGUACCUAAUCAGAAAGCCACGGCUAACUACGUGCCAGCAGCCGCGGUAAUACGUAGGUGGCAAGCGUUAUCCGGAAUUAUUGGGCGUAAAGCGCGCGUAGGCGGUUUUUUAAGUCUGAUGUGAAAGCCCACGGCUCAACCGUGGAGGGUCAUUGGAAACUGGAAAACUUGAGUGCAGAAGAGGAAAGUGGAAUUCCAUGUGUAGCGGUGAAAUGCGCAGAGAUAUGGAGGAACACCAGUGGCGAAGGCGACUUUCUGGUCUGUAACUGACGCUGAUGUGCGAGAGCGUGGGGAUCAAACAGGAUUAGAUACCCUGGUAGUCCACGCCGUAAACGAUGAGUGCUAAGUGUUAGGGGGUUUCCGCCCCUUAGUGCUGCAGCUAACGCAUUAAGCACUCCGCCUGGGGAGUACGACCGCAAGGUUGAAACUCAAAGGAAUUGACAGGGACCCGCACAAGCGGUGGAGCAUGUGGUUUAAUUCGAAGCAACGCGAAGAACCUUACCAAAUCUUGACAUCCUUUGACAACUCUAGAGAUAGAGCCUUCCCCUUCGGGGGACAAAGUGACAGGUGGUGCAUGGUUGUCGUCAGCUCGUGUCGUGAGAUGUUGGGUUAAGUCCCGCAACGAGCGCAACCCUUAAGCUUAGUUGCCAUCAUUAAGUUGGGCACUCUAAGUUGACUGCCGGUGACAAACCGGAGGAAGGUGGGGAUGACGUCAAAUCAUCAUGCCCCUUAUGAUUUGGGCUACACACGUGCUACAAUGGACAAUACAAAGGGCAGCGAAACCGCGAGGUCAAGCAAAUCCCAUAAAGUUGUUCUCAGUUCGGAUUGUAGUCUGCAACUCGACUACAUGAAGCUGGAAUCGCUAGUAAUCGUAGAUCAGCAUGCUACGGUGAAUACGUUCCCGGGUCU
rnacentral:rRNA from 1 species